rnacentral:lncRNA from 1 species
UAUCAAAUAAAAAUAAUUGCUGAAAAGAGCUUAGAGCUCUAGGUUUUAUAUCAGUCAGGGUCCAGUUGGGAGACCAAAAUAAGACCAAUUUUUGAAACAAAGCAAAUUUAAACAAUUUUUUUCCUAGCUAUACAGUGGCUAGCUAGGUGACUGAAAGGUAGGAGAGACUAAAGUGUCACAGGUGUGACAACUUCAGAAAACAGUUCCCAUUCCAGUCCCCCACUAAAGAACUAAGAGGAGGGUCUCCACGGAGCUGAGACUCUGGCCUUUGAGGAAAGAAAGUAGAAAUGUGGUUUGCAGAGCCCUGCUUCUGCAUGAUAAACAGUACAAAAUAAAAAUUUGGAGCUGAAAACAAUUACUUGAUAAUUAGCAAACUUUAUUUUUUUUUCUCUUCAACUCUUAGUUGAAGUUUCAAGGUAUGUGUGCAGGAUAUGCAGGUUUGUUACCUAGGUAAACAUGUGCCAUGGUGAUUUGCUGCACAGAUCAUCCUAUCACCUAGAUACUAAGCCCAACAUCCAUUAGCUAUUCUUCCUGAUGCUCUCCUUCCCCUCUGCCGCAAUAGGCCCCAGUGUGUGUUGCUCCCCUCCAUGUGUCCAUGUGUUCUCAUCGUUCAGCUCCCACUUACAAGUGAGAACAUGCCAUGUUUGGUUUUCUGUUCCUGCAUUAGAUUGUAU